UAAAGUAGGGGAGGCGGUGGUAGUGUACCCAUGGACGGUAGCAUGUUAAACUCAUAUAGAGGAAAUGAUUACGUCCGUCCUUUUUACGGAUGUCUAUAUCUCAUACGUGUUUGAGCUUUUACAUCCAGUUGCAUGAUUAUGCAUGUGUUUCUUUUGUGGUAGUUAAUCUAUACAUGAGAAAGAAUGUCAAGUAUGAUACUACACGGUGAAGCAAAGAAGGAAAUAAGAAAGAGAUGACUUAGAUUCAAUAGAAUGUCUAGCUGUUCAAGCCAUGGCUCCAAUGAACUUGGAUGGUAGUGGUUGUAGAUUACGCCGAUAGAGAAAAUGAAGGGGACCUAAUAAUGGAAACACAAUUGGCAACACCUGAG